rnacentral:rRNA from 1 species
GACGAACGCUGGCGGCGUGCUUAACACAUGCAAGUCGAACGAAGUGGCGGACGGGUGAGUAACGCGUAAUCAACCUGCCCUUCAGAGGGGGGCAACAGUUGGAAACGACUGCUAAUACCGCAUACUGAAGGAGGGGAUUGCGUCUGAUUAGCUAGUUGGAGGGGUAACGGCCCACCAAGGCGAUGAUCAGUAGCCUGGCUUGGAGGAGGAACGGCCACAUGUGGACUGAGAAACGGCCCAGACUCCUACGGGAGGCAGCAGUGGGGAAUCGUCCGAAAUGGAGGAAAGGCUGACGGAGCAACGCCGCGGGAGUGAGGACGGCCUUCGGGUUGUAAAGCUCUGUUAAUCGGGACGCGGUACCGGAAUAGAAAGCCACGGCUAACUACGUGCCAGCAGCCGCGGUAAUAC